UUUUACAGUAGUACAAAUAAAAUCUCAAUUCGGAUUCUACUUUUCAUUUACCCCUUGUCCCCUUAUACAGGUGAGUGGGCUGAAACUUGCCAUCUAAUCAUGUCAAGCUACAUUGUUUCAACCUAGGGCUGUGUGAAACUGUCCGUUUGAGGGAAUUUGAUUGGUUGGUGAGGUCAGCUGCGACGGAGUUAUGAUGACGCUUAGGUCUUAGGCACGUGUCCUAAGGCAUCUUUUCAUGCUAUUAAUUGGUUGAUUUGGACAGUCCUGCCUUCACAGGAGAGCACUUCGUCUUUCAUGUGUCAUGAUGAUGUUUCUAUAUGACAUCUCUUGUAGUCUGACUCCGACCUACAUCAUUUGGGUAUUGGACCAAGGUGCUGAGCUGACCUGUCUGAAUCCCUUGACAGGCAGGCUUCUUUGCCUACGUCACAAGGAGCUCCCAAUUCGAUCACAUGGAAUUCAU
rnacentral:lncRNA from 1 species